UUGGGACCCAUACUCGAGGAAGGACUCAGCAAUCUGCGAAAAGGUCCACAAACCUGAGGCGUCAGGCUUCCAC
rnacentral:rRNA from 11 species